rnacentral:rRNA from 1 species
AGAGUUUGAUCAUGGCUCAGGAUGAACGCUGGCGGCAUGCCUAAUACAUGCAAGUCGAACGGUAAUCUUAUAUGUUCCUCGUUUCGGAUUUAGUUCCGAGUUGGGGAACAAUAAGAUUUAGUGGCGGACGGGUGAGUAACACGUUGGUACCUACCCUCUAGUGGGGAAUAACUUCGAGAAAUCGAGGCUAAUACCGCAUAAUAUCUACGGAUUAAAGCAUUUAUGCGCUAGAGGAGGGGCCUGCGUCUGAUUAGCUUGUUGGUGAGGUAAAAAGCUCACCAAGGCGACGAUCAGUAGCUGGAUCGAGAGGUUGACCAGCCACACUGGGACUGAGAUACGGCCCAGACUCCUACGGGAGGCAGCAGUAAGGAAUCUUCCACAAUGGGCGAAAGCCUGAUGGAGCAAUGCCGCGUGCAGGAUGACGGCCUUCGGGUUGUAAACUGCUUUUAUAUAGGAAGAUUAUGACGGUACCAUAUGAAUAAGGACCGGCUAACUACGUG